rnacentral:rRNA from 1 species
GCACGGUGGAUGCCUUGGCACUAGAAGCCGAUGAAGGACGUGACGAACCACGAAAGGCUACGGAGAGCUGUAAGUAAGCUAAGACCCGUAGAUAUCCGAAUGGGGGAACCCGGUGCAGCGAUGCAUCAUUAAAUACUGUUAAGGUAUUUAAAGGAAGACGCAGUGAACUGAAACAUCUAAGUAGCUGCAGGAAGAGAAAGCAAAAGCGAU